GACUGCUUAGGUCCCCACAGUGGCCCGGGACGGGGUGAGGGGACUGUGGCUUUGGCUCUGUGUACAUCAUAUGGCCUUGGCCAGCAUCCAUUCUUCUCUGGCCUCGGCUUUUCUGUUGGUAAAAGGGAGGGAGGGUGAUCUCAGGGCCCUCCAGGCCCAUCAAGGAAGGAGGUGGGGUUGGAGACGUUGGGGAGCCACUGCGUCCAGUCUCUCCUAACGGGGAGGGUAGAAGACCGCCUGGGAACAGGAAAAGCUUGGCUCCCAGGCUCUGUGCUGAAGAAGGAAGCCUAAGCAGGGCCAUGUUACAUUUGGUGGAGGAGGGAGAGGGUAGGGGAGGAACAGACGCCGGCCGCUCCUGCUAAGGAAGGCAAAUAGAGGAAAGGACCCACUGGGGUGGGGAAGGUCGGCCAGAGGUAUCCAGAGAACCAGAGAAGAAUGCCCUCUUGGCUGAGUGCAGUGGCUCACACCUGUGAUCCCAACACUUUGGGAGGCUGAGGCGGGUGGAUUGCUUGAGCCCAGAAGUUCAAGACCAGCCUGGACAACAUAUCAACAGGAUGCAGAAUGGUCUGCCUGGGCCUCAGUCACAUUGGAAGAGCAGAGACAGAAGGAGCCAUGAGGAGUCACUCAAGGGUUUUAGGCAGAGCCGUGACACGACCAGAGCUACUAUGAGCAAAGGUUCCGGAACAGGGCAGGGCAGGACAGGUUUGAGAGCAAUGGCGCGAUCUCGGCUCACAGCAACCUCCGCCUCCCGGGUUCAAGCUAUUCUCCUGCCUCAACCUCCUGAGGGCUGGGAUUACAGGUCCUCAGAGCCACCUCCAUCCUCCUCCUUGCAAUGAAUCCCAGUCCACUCACACCACGGGUCCUGGCUACACUUCGCCAUCUUCUCUGUCUGCUGGCAAAAAUGACCUCAAGUAUUUCUUCCAUAUGUAGGUUUUCGUCCACGGUUCCAGGCUCAUAACUCCCACAGCCCUGUUUAGAGCCUUUGAUUAUGAUGUUGGCUGUGUUAGGCCUCAGGAGCAGGCCUUGGGGAAACAGAAUCUCUCUGGCCUUUUCCUGUCCUUCUUUCACCCGCCCAAGGCCGUACUCUUAUCUUCCUCCACCUUUCUGAUUGUGGGACCCUAAUUCCAGAGAGGGUCCUGCCCCAUACUCUGGGGGAAGGAAUGCUGUGGUUAUGAAUCUUCUAUAAAAACCCAAGAGGCUUUUUUCAGAGAGCUUCUCCAUAGCUGACCAUGUGGAGGCUCCUCGAGUGUGGUGUGCCCAGGGAGGGCAUGGAGCCUCCACACACCCUUUCCCACUAUUUCUGUCCUACACAUCUCUUCAUCUGUAUCCUUUGCAAUAUCCUUCAUAAUAAACCAGUAAACACAA